GAUGAACGCUGGCGGCGUGCCUAAUACAUGCAAGUCGAGCGAACGGACGAGAAGCUUGCUCUUCUGACGUUAGCGGCGGACGGGUGAGUAACACGUGGAUAACCUACCUAUAAGACUGGGAUAACUUCGGGAAACCGGAGCUAAUACCGGAUAAUAUUUUGAACCGCAUGGUUCAAUAGUGAAAGACGGUUUUGCUGUCACUUAUAGAUGGAUCCGCGCUGCAUUAGCUAGUUGGUAAGGUAACGGCUUACCAAGGCAACGAUGCAUAGCCGACCUGAGAGGGUGAUCGGCCACACUGGAACUGAGACACGGUCCAGACUCCUACGGGAGGCAGCAGUAGGGAAUCUUCCGCAAUGGGCGAAAGCCUGACGGAGCAACGCCGCGUGAGUGAUGAAGGUCUUCGGAUCGUAAAACUCUGUUAUUAGGGAAGAACAAAUGUGUAAGUAACUAUGCACGUCUUGACGGUACCUAAUCAGAAAGCCACGGCUAACUACGUG
rnacentral:rRNA from 1 species